rnacentral:rRNA from 1 species
ACGAAGCACCUUGAUUUGAUUCUUCGGAUGAAGAUCUUGGUGACUGAGUGGCGGACGGGUGAGUAACGCGUGGGUAACCUGCCUCAUACAGGGGGAUAACAGUUAGAAAUGACUGCUAAUACCGCAUAAGACCACAGCACCGCAUGGUGCAGGGGUAAAAACUCCGGUGGUAUGAGAUGGACCCGCGUCUGAUUAGGUAGUUGGUGGGGUAACGGCCUACCAAGCCGACGAUCAGUAGCCGACCUGAGAGGGUGACCGGCCACAUUGGGACUGAGACACGGCCCAAACUCCUACGGGAGGCAGCAGUGGGGAAUAUUGCACAAUGGGGGAAACCCUGAUGCAGCGACGCCGCGUGAGCGAUGAAGUAUUUCGGUAUGUAAAGCUCUAUCAGCAGGGAAGAAAAUGACGGUACCUGACUAAGAAGCACCGGCUAAAUACGUGCCAGCAGCCGCGGUAAUACGUAUGGUGCAAGCGUUAUCCGGAUUUACUGGGUGUAAAGGGAGCGUAGACGGAGUGGCAAGUCUGAUGUGAAAACCCGGGGCUCAACCCCGGGACUGCAUUGGAAACUGUCAAUCUAGAGUACCGGAGAGGUAAGCGGAAUUCCUAGUGUAGCGGUGAAAUGCGUAGAUAUUAGGAGGAACACCAGUGGCGAAGGCGGCUUACUGGACGGUAACUGACGUUGAGGCUUGAAAGC